rnacentral:rRNA from 1 species
UAGGGAAUCUUCCACAAUGGACGAAAGUCUGAUGGAGCAACGCCGCGUGAGUGAAGAAGGUUUUCGGAUCGUAAAGCUCUGUUGUUGGUGAAGAAGGAUAGGAGCAGUAACUGGUUUCUAUUAGACGGUAAUCAACCAGAAAGUCACGGCUAACUACGUGCCAA